rnacentral:rRNA from 1 species
UACGUAGGGCGCGAGCGUUGUCCGGAUUUAUUGGGCGUAAAGAGCUCGUAGGCGGCUUGUUGCGUCGGCUGUGAAAACCCGCGGCUUAACCGCGGGCCUGCAGCCGAUACGGGCAGGCUAGAGUUCGGUAGGGGAGACUGGAAUUCCUGGUGUAGCGGUGAAAUGCGCAGAUAUUGGGAGGAACACCAGUGGCGAAGGCGGCUCACUGGACUGGUACUGACGCUGAGGCGCGAAAGCGUGGGGAGCAAACGGG